rnacentral:rRNA from 1 species
UACGUAGGGGGCUAGCGUUGUCCGGAUUUAUUGGGCGUAAAGAGCGUGUAGGCGGCCAGGUAGGUCUGCUGUGAAAACUUGAGGCUCAACCUCGAGACGUCGGCGGAAACCAUCUGGCUAGAGUCCGGAAGAGGAGAGUGGAAUUCCUGGUGUAGCGGUGAAAUGCGCAGAUAUCAGGAAGAACACCAAUGGCGAAAGCAGCUCUCUGGGACGGUACUGACGCUGAGACGCGAAAGCGUGGGGAGCGAACAGG